GAAAUAGUUGCAAUCAAACAAGAGAAGAGUCUAAGUAGAACAGAUUAGCUAUGAUCGGACAGGUGUACGUCGUUGACUGGAUAAGUAGAAUAGAAGGAUCGUUGUCAGACGGUAUAGUACAAGAAGAAUAAAGGAGAC